rnacentral:rRNA from 1 species
UACGGGGGGAGCAAGCGUUGUUCGGAUUUACUGGGCGUAAAGGGCGCGUAGGCGGCCAUCGCAAGUCAAUUGUGAAAUCUCCGGGCUUAACUCGGAAAGGUCAACUGAUACUGCGGGGCUAGAGUGCGGAAGGGGCAACUGGAAUUCCUGGUGUAGCGGUGAAAUGCGCAGAUAUCAGGAAGAACACCCGUGGCGAAGGCGGCUCUCUGGGACGGUACUGACGCUGAGACGCGAAAGCGUGGGGAGCGAACAGG